rnacentral:rRNA from 1 species
UACGAAGGGGGCUAGCGUUGCUCGGAAUCACUGGGCGUAAAGCGCACGUAGGCGGCUUCUUAAGUCAGGGGUGAAAUCCUGGAGCUCAACUCCAGAACUGCCUCUGAUACUGAGGAGCUCGAGUCCGGGAGAGGUGAGUGGAACUCCGAGUGUAGAGGUGAAAUUCGUAGAUAUUCGCAAGAACACCAGUGGCGAAGGCGGCUCACUGGCCCGAUACUGACGCUGAGGUGCGAAAGCGUGGGGAGCAAACAGG